rnacentral:rRNA from 2 species
UCUCGGCAAAUUAUCCUCAUAAGUUUGACAAUAAGAGAAACCAUAUAAUAUUUAAAUUAGCCAUAAUUUAAUUAAUUAUAUGGUGUAAUAAAAUCGGAGGCCACGACUGUUUACUAAAAACACAAUUCAGAGCAAUAAUUAAGAUAAUAGUAUUCUGGAUGAAAUUUGCUCAAUGCCAUUAAUAUAAGAGAGGUAAUUUUAAAGUUAUCAAUCGAAAAUCUGGUUAAUAGCGGUCUUAACUAUGAGGAUCCUAAGGUAGCAAAAUAAAUUGGCCAUUAAAUGUGGUCUUGUAUCAAUAAUGUAACGAUGGUCUCACUGUCUCUACAACUUGCUCAGUGAAAUUGAAUUGCGAGUGCAGAUGCUCGCUGUCUUCAGGGGGACGGGAAGACCCUAUGCAGCUUCUACUGA